GCAGCGAAGUUGAUUAUGCGUUGGACUUCUUAUACAAAGGACAUGGGUUCGAAUCCCACCUGAAGUG